CAAUAGCAUCAAUCACGAACAUAUAAAUAAAUAUAGAAGAAACCGUUCGGAAAUGGAAAGGGAAAAAUGAACAUGGAAGACAAGAAAGUUUUCUUCAUGUUUAGCGUAUGCGUGAUACGCUUUGAAUGUCUCAGAUAAAGAUAAAGAUACUCUGCUCAUUUCUAUUUGUUCCGCAGAACGAGAAAUUUGUUGUCUUUCAUAUUGGUUUUUACGAUUCAAUUUUUGGGCAGUUUUCCCUAGCGAGUGUCGGUCCCUGUUUGAUAUAACCAGACCGUAAUUUAUACAGAUAUGUAAUAUAGAUAUAUAUUUGUAAAACUGAAAUCAGAUGAAAUAAAUGUUGCCUGAGGUUUUAAACGUUUAAUAAAAACAAUAUUUCAUUUGGAAAAAAUGUAAGAUAUGUAAAAUUACACAUUGAUCAUUUUGCUGGUCUUGUAUCAUAAAACAUGUGGCCCGAAGAGCACGUGUCCGGUAGGGAUACGUCACUUGUGUUAGGAAUCGUUUUAUAACCUAUCACAGUAAAGGAACGUCCCAGUAUAGCAGCCGAAGAAUGCCGUGAAAGUUUUUGCACAAAGUACAAUUGAUCUACAAUUGAUAUUUUCCGCAAUACUUAUCUGGUGUUCGGACAGGGUGUCCCAUACUCAUGAUAUUUAUGACAGUGGAAUGGCGUUAGUAAAUCAAUUACAAAAAUUUUCGAGAUCAAUUCUCGGUAUUGCAUCAAAUUAUUCAAAAUAUACGAGCAACACAACGUUGCCCUUUUUGCAGGCAACAAGAGGAAUAUCGACCACGCAACCACUUUCAGAAAAACAAGAGAGUAUAACAUCUAGAAAAAUAACAUAGUAUUAAUAGAAUAGUGUUAAUAAGAACAACAUUGACAGUGAACAACUAAAAAUAUAACACUGUUAUAAAUAUAUGAUAUACGAAUUUUAUUUAUGUAUUAUUAAGACAAGUAUAUCUUAUUUUUAAAUUAUUUCUAUUAUCAUAAGUGAUACAUAUAAUUAAGAGUAAAUAUAACGUUUGUUAAAGCAAGUGGAGAGAGAAUCAAAGCAAAAGGGAAAGUUGGAGAUACUAUAUUAGACAUAGUAGUAAAUAAUGAAAUUGAUUUAGGUGGAUAUGGUGCUUGUGAAGGAACAUUAACUUGUAGUACGUGCCGUUUAAUAUUUUCGAAAGAAGUUUAUGAUGCACUUCCUGACAAACCAACAGAUGAAGAAUUAGACAUGUUGGAUUUAGCAUAUGAAUUAACAGAUACGUCACGGCUAGGCUGUCAAAUAGUAAUGUCUAAGGAACUAGAUGGAAUUGAGGUAAGAGUUCCAUCAACAAUUAAUGAUGCAAGAGCAUAACUGAAAUUAUCUAUAGGUUUUUGAAAAUUUGUAUACAAUGUUAUACAUCUCUUGUUAAAAAACCCUUGUUAUAAUUAUUAAAAUAUUGGUAUUAAAAAAAUAUAAUAAAGAAUCUUGUGUUUAAAUGUGAAGCUUAUAUAUAUACAUAUGUUAUAGUAUAAUUGUAAUUUUGAUAUUUGUACAUUGCCAUUGUAAAAAGCCUAUCCAAUUAUGAAGAAAAUAUAUCUUUUAUUUUUAAUAUA